AACGCACCUUGCGCCUUUUGGUAUUCUGAAAGGCAUGCCUGUUUGAGUGUCAUGAAAUCUCAAUGCCCCCCGGGUUUCUGACCUGUGGUGGACUUGGACCUGGGCACUGCCGUCUGACGGCUUGCCUCAAAUGACCAAGUGGGAUCAGCAUCCACGGCCUGAUGUAAUAAGUCUCGUCUGGCCCGAUGUGAGGCCUGCUCACAACCCCGGCGCCUUGUUGUGGCGCUUGACACUUUUGACUGACCUCAAAUCAGGUAGGGCUACCCGCUGAACUUAA
rnacentral:misc_RNA from 1 species